rnacentral:pre_miRNA from 1 species
AAUACAUUCGGAACGUCGGUAUACCGAGCAAUUUCAUUCGCUCGGUACAAGAUACUCAUAUUGUAUU